GGUUCGCCAUUCUCACUUUUUGGUUACGCUUUGUUUUAUGCAACUUUGGAGACAAAGAGAAUUGCUAUGGUUCUUGGAGAUUUUAUACUUGAAGGUGUUUUCAAUUCUUUUCUUAAUAAUAUUUUCUAUGAUUUUAAUUAUGAAUAUUUUGCUAGGGCGAAGCAUUGAGCCUUAGCAUGAAUAUAUGAUUUUUAUUUAAUUUCUUAUGAUUGAUUGCAUGCAUACUUUGAAUUAUUAAUCACCGGGAUUAAAACUAUCUAAUUGUCUUAAUGCCUGAUCACCAUUAGGAUCUUUAGAAAAGUAAUUUGAUGUAAUUUUGGUCGAAAGGUUCCCUGAAAUUGAUGUUGGUUUCUUGUGAUUAAUAAUUGUAAUUUCACUUAGGAUGAACACCACG
rnacentral:lncRNA from 1 species